rnacentral:rRNA from 1 species
AUUAAACGCUGGCGGCAUGCCUUACACAUGCAAGUCGAACGGCAGCACGGGGGCAACCCUGGUGGCGAGUGGCGAACGGGUGAGUAAAGCAUCGGAACGUGCCCUGGAGUGGGGGAUAACGUAGCGAAAGUUACGCUAAUACCGCAUAUUCUGUGAGCAGGAAAGCAGGGGAUCGCAAGACCUUGCGCUCUGGGAGCGGCCGAUGUCGGAUUAGCUAGUUGGUGGGGUAAAGGCCUACCAAGGCGACGAUCCGUAGCGGGUCUGAGAGGAUGAUCCGCCACACUGGGACUGAGACACGGCCCAGACUCCUACGGGAGGCAGCAGUGGGGAAUUUUGGACAAUGGGCGAAAGCCUGAUCCAGCCAUGCCGCGUGAGAGAAGAAGGCCUCGGUUGUAAGAC